ACCGCAGCCGGGUUCCAGCCCCCGUGCGAGCGCGGGAGAGAGUGGAGCCGAGAUUGUAGAAGGUCCAGUUGCGUUUUCCAGUCCCUAGGGCCAGAAGUCUUCACUACGUCCUGGGAAACGAAUCAGAGGAGCUGAAAAGAAAGAGAGAGUGAAUGGGAUCACAGGAUGUUGGACUGAUGGAGACCUCAGAGAUCAUCUGGGACCAUCCUCCACCUGUGGGAACUACUGACAAUUCUCUUCCCAUGCUGGGCUCCUUGCCCUUGGCCCUCCUUCAACUGCUGGUCCCUCUGUCCAGAUCACUCUCUGCCCCCCACCACCUCCACCUGGUUGAUUUGCACUGCAGCUUAAGUAUCCUUAUUUGGGCAAAGGCUUCCUUUAGUCCUGUUUUAACUAUCCCUCCAAUGCACUCCCAGCACAUCCAGUAUUCCCUGCAAUGUUAAUUGGCCAUUUUCACUCUACUACUUCCUAGAUAGUGCUUAGAAUUUCCACACAACCAUGCAUCCUGUAUAUCCUUUGAUGUUUUAGCAGAUAUGUGAUGUUACUUAAUUUAGUCUGAUUUUUAGUAUCUCAGUUUCUCCAUCUGAGUAUUUUUGUGUAAAUUGGGUACACAAUAAAC